AUUGAACGCUGGCGGAAUGCUUUACACAUGCAAGUCGAACGGCAGCACGGACUUCGGUCUGGUGGCGAGUGGCGAACGGGUGAGUAAUGUAUCGGAACGUGCCCAAUCGUGGGGAUAACGUAGCGAAAGCUACGCUAAUACCGCAUACGAUCUAAGGAUGAAAGCGGGGGAUCGCAAGACCUCGCGCGAUUGGAGCGGCCGAUGGCAGAUUAGGUAGUUGGUAGGGUAAAGGCCUACCAAGCCGACGAUCUGUAGCUGGUCUGAGAGGAUGAUCAGCCACACUGGGACUGAGACACGGCCCAGACUCCUACGGGAGGCAGCAGUGGGGAAUUUUGGACAAUGGACGCAAGUCUGAUCCAGCCAUUCCGCGUGCAGGAUGAAGGCCCUCGGGUUGUAAACUGCUUUUGUACAGAACGAAAAGGUCUCUCUUAAUACGGGGGGCUCAUGACGGUACCGUAAGAAUAAGCACCGGCUAACUACGUGCCAGCCGCCGCGGUAA
rnacentral:rRNA from 1 species